CCUACGGGAGGCAGCAGUAGGGAAUAUUGCUCAAUGGGGGAAACCCUGAAGCAGCAACGCCGCGUGGAGGAUGAAGGUUUUCGGAUUGUAAACUCCUUUUGUUAGAGAAGAUAAUGACGGUAUCUAACGAAUAAGCACCGGCUAACUCCGUGCCAGCAGCCGCGGUAAUACGGAGGGUGCAAGCGUUACUCGGAAUCACUGGGCGUAAAGAGCGCGUAGGCGGGUUAGCAAGUCAGAUGUGAAAUCCUAUGGCUUAACCAUAGAACUGCAUUUGAAACUGUUAUUCUAGAGUAUGGGAGAGGUAGGUGGAAUUCUUGGUGUAGGGGUGAAAUGCGUAGAGAUCAAGAGGAAUACUCAUUGCGAAGGCGACCUGCUAGAACAUAACUGACGCUGAGGCGCGAAAGCGUGGGGAGCAAACAGGAUUAGAUACCCGGGUAGUC
rnacentral:rRNA from 1 species